UCCUUACUAAAAAUAUGUUUAAUUCUGUUAAUUUGUCCUAAAAUUGACAUGCACGAAGCUGUCACUUUCACAAUGUGAUCGUUGAAAUUUAGAUUACGAUCAAAUGUUACUCCCAAGUCUUUCGUUACAUCUCCAGGGAUAAGAUCUUUUCCCAACAGUGAAAGACAAAAAUCACUAGGUAGUUUUGUAAUAAACUGUCUGGUUCCG